rnacentral:tRNA from 1 species
GGGCAGUUGGCUCAGCUGGUUAGAGCAUCUGCCUUACACGCAGAGGGUCACUGGUUCGAAUCCAGUACUGCCCA